CUUUCCUGCGGAGUUGGAGGACAAAAGCCAGUGCCGGUGUGAUGCCUACACCGACUUCUGUGCUCCGGCUUUGGAAGGAAGGA
ensembl:miRNA Mir1964 microRNA 1964